GACGAACGCUGGCGGCGUGCCUAAUACAUGCAAGUUGAGCGAUGAAGAUUGGUGCUUGCACCAAUUUGAAGAGCAGCGAACGGGUGAGUAACGCGUGGGGAAUCUGCCUUUGAGCGGGGGACAACAUUUGGAAACGAAUGCUAAUACCGCAUAACAACUUUAAGCAUAAGUUUUAAGUUUGAAAGAUGCAAUUGCAUCACUCAAAGAUGAUCCCGCGUUGUAUUAGCUAGUUGGUGAGGUAAAGGCUCACCAAGGCGAUGAUACAUAGCCGACCUGAGAGGGUGAUCGGCCACAUUGGGACUGAGACACGGCCCAAACUCCUACGGGAGGCAGCAGUAGGGAAUCUUCGGCAAUGGACGAAAGUCUGGCCGAGCAACGCCGCGUGAGUGAAGAAGGUUUUCGGAUCGUAAAACUCUGUUGGUAGAGAAGAACGUUGGUGAGAGUGGAAAGCUCAUCAAGUGACGGUAACUACCCAGAAAGGGACGGCUAACUACGUG
rnacentral:rRNA from 1 species